AGCGAACGCUGGCGGCAGGCUUAACACAUGCAAGUCGAGCGGGCGUAGCAAUACGUCAGCGGCAGACGGGUGAGUAACGCGUGGGAACGUACCUUUUGGUUCGGAACAACACAGGGAAACUUGUGCUAAUACCGGAUAAGCCCUUACGGGGAAAGAUUUAUCGCCGAAAGAUCGGCCCGCGUCUGAUUAGCUAGUUGGUAGGGUAAUGGCCUACCAAGGCGACGAUCAGUAGCUGGUCUGAGAGGAUGAUCAGCCACAUUGGGACUGAGACACGGCCCAAACUCCUACGGGAGGCAGCAGUGGGGAAUAUUGGACAAUGGGGGCAACCCUGAUCCAGCCAUGCCGCGUGAGUGAUGAAGGCCCUAGGGUUGUAAAGCUCUUUUGUGCGGGAAGAUAAUGA
rnacentral:rRNA from 2 species